rnacentral:snRNA from 1 species
GUGCUCACUUCAGCAGCACAUAUUCUAAAACCGUAGAAACAGAGAAGAGUAGCAUGGCCACUGCACAAGGAGGACACAAUUUGUAAAGCAUUCCAUUUUUUA